rnacentral:rRNA from 1 species
GAUGAACGCUGGCGGCGUGCCUAAUACAUGCAAGUCGAGCGAACAGAUAAGGAGCUUGCUCCUUUGACGUUAGCGGCGGACGGGUGAGUAACACGUGGGUAACCUACCUAUAAGACUGGGAUAACUUCGGGAAACCGGAGCUAAUACCGGAUAACAUUUGGAACCGCAUGGUUCUAAAGUGAAAGAUGGUUUUGCUAUCACUUAUAGAUGGACCCGCGCCGUAUUAGCUAGUUGGUAAGGUAACGGCUUACCAAGGCAACGAUACGCAGCCGACCUGAGAGGGUGAUCGGCCACACUGGAACUGAGACACGGUCCAGGCUACUACGGGAGGCAGCAGUAGGGAAUCCUCCGCAAUGGGCGAAAGCCUGACGGAGCAACGCCGCGUGAGUGAUGAAGGGUUUCGGCUCGUAAAACUCUGUUAUUAGGGAAGAACAAACGUGUAAGUAACUGUGCACGUCUUGACGGUACCUAAUCAGAAAGCCACGGCUAACUACGUG